GACGAACGCUGGCGGCGUGCUUAACACAUGCAAGUCGAACGGUGAAGCGCCUUCCUUUUUGGUGGGUGUGGAUGAGUGGCGAACGGGUGAGUAACACGUGAGUAACCUGCCCCCUUCUUCUGGAUAACCGCAUGAAAGUGUGGCUAAUACGGGAUAUUCUGGGUCUGUCGCAUGAUGGGUCUGGGAAAGAUAUUGUUUCGGUGGGGGAUGGGCUCGCGGCCUAUCAGCUUGUUGGUGGGGUGAUGGCCUACCAAGGCGGUGACGGGUAGCCGGCCUGAGAGGGUGGACGGCCCCACUGGGGAGGAGACACCGCCAAGACUCCUACGGGAGGCAGCAGUGGGGAAUAUUGCACAGUGGGCGCAAGCCUGAUGCAGCGACGCCGCGUGAGGGAUGGAGGCCUUCGGGUUGUGAACCUCUUUCGCCAGUGAAGCAGGCCUGCCUCGUUUGUGGGUGGGUUGACGGUAGCUGGAUAAGAAGCGCCGGCUAACUACGUG
rnacentral:rRNA from 1 species